rnacentral:rRNA from 1 species
UAUCCUUAUUUCCAGCGCGUAGUGGCGGGAACUCUAAGGAGACUGCCGGUGAUAAACCGGAGGAAGGUGGGGACGACGUCAAGUCAUCAUGGCCCUUACGGGAUGGGCUACACACGUGCUACAAUGGCAAGUACAGAGGGCAGCAAUACCGCGAGGUGGAGCGAAUCCCACAAAGCUUGUCGUAGUCCGGAUUGGAGUCUGCAACUCGACUCCAUGAAGUCGGAAUCGCUAGUAAUCGUAGAUCAGAAUGCUACGGUGAAUACGUUC